AUUGAACGCUGGCGGCAGGCCUAACACAUGCAAGUCGAACGCGUGGGGGACAGGUGAGUAAUGUCUUGGAAACUGCCCGAUGGAGGGGGAUAACUACUGGAAAAGGUAUCUAAUACCGCAUACCAUCGGAUGUGCCCAGAUGGGAUUAGCUAGUGGGUGGGGUAACGGCUCACCUAGGCGACGAUCCCUAGCUGGGCUGCGAGGUUGCACAGCCACACUGGAACGGAGACACGGUCCAGACUCCUACGGGAGGCAGCAGUGGGGAAUGUUGGACAAUGGGCGCAAGCCGGAUGCAGCCAUGCCGCGUGUAUGAAGAAGGCCUUCGGGUUGUAAAGUACUUUUAGCAGGGAGGCGGUACCCGCAGAAGAAGCACCGGCUAACUCCGUGCCAGCAGCCGCGGUAAUAC
rnacentral:rRNA from 1 species